rnacentral:rRNA from 1 species
AAUGAACGCUGGCGGCAGGCCUAACACAUGCAAGUCGAGCGCACCCUUCGGGGUGAGCGGCGGACGGGUGAGUAACGCGUGGGAACGUGCCCUUCUCUGCGGAAUAGCCUCGGGAAACUGAGAGUAAUACCGCAUACGCCCUUUGGGGGAAAGAUUUAUCGGAGAAGGAUCGGCCCGCGUUGGAUUAGGUAGUUGGUGGGGUAAUGGCCCACCAAGCCGACGAUCCAUAGCUGGUUUGAGAGGAUGAUCAGCCACACUGGGACUGAGACACGGCCCAGACUCCUACGGGAGGCAGCAGUGGGGAAUCUUAGACAAUGGGGGCAACCCUGAUCUAGCCAUGCCGCGUGAGUGAUGAAGGCCUUAGGGUUGUAAAGCUCUUUCAGCUGGGAAGAUAAUGACGGUACCAGCAGAAGAAGCCCCGGCUAACUCCGUG